rnacentral:rRNA from 1 species
AACGUAGGUGGCGAGCGUUAUCCGGAUUUACUGGGCGUAAAGCGUGUGCAGGCGGCCUCACAAGUGGUGUAUGAAAUAUCCAGGCUCAACCUGGAGGGGUUAUGCCAGACUGUGAGGCUAGAGUGCGAGAGAGGGGCGUGGAAUUCCGGGUGUAGUGGUGAAAUGCGCAGAUAUCAGGAAGAACACCCGUGGCGAAGGCGGCUCUCUGGGACGGUACUGACGCUGAGACGCGAAAGCGUGGGGAGCGAACAGG